rnacentral:rRNA from 1 species
UACGGAGGGUGCAAGCGUUGUCCGGAAUUAUUGGGCGUAAAGAGCUCGUAGGCGGUUCGUCGCGUCUGCCGUGAAAACCCGAGGCUUAACCUCGGGCCUGCGGUGGAUACGGGCGGACUAGAGGUAGGUAGGGGAGAAUGGAAUUCCCGGUGUAGCGGUGAAAUGCGCAGAUAUCGGGAGGAACACCGGUGGCGAAGGCGGUUCUCUGGGGCUUUGCUGACGCUGAUGCGCGAAAGCGUGGGGAGCGAUCCGG